rnacentral:rRNA from 1 species
AUUUGCCUGGCGGCCGUAGCGCGGUGGUCCCACCUGACCCCAUGCCGAACUCAGAAGUGAAACGCCGUAGCUCCGAUGGUAGUGUGGGGUCUCCCCAUGCGAGAGUAGGGAACUGCCAGACAUCAAAUAAAACAAAAGGCUCAGUCGGAAGACUGGGCCUUUUGU